AUUGAACGCUGGCGGCAUGCUUUACACAUGCAAGUCGAACGGUAACAGGGAGCUCGCUCCGCUGACGAGUGGCGAACGGGUGAGUAAUGCGUCGGAACGUGCCGAGUAGUGGGGGAUAACGCACCGAAAGGUGUGCUAAUACCGCAUACGUACUGAGGUAGAAAGUGGGGGACCUUCGGGCCUCACGCUAUUCGAGCGGCCGACGUCUGGUUCGCUAGUUGGUGAGGUAAAGGCUCACCAAGGCGACGAUCAGUAGCGGGUCUGAGAGGAUGAUCCGCCACACUGGGACUGAGACACGGCCCAGACUCCUACGGGAGGAAGCAGUGGGGAAUUUUGGACAAUGGGCGCAAGCCUGAUCCAGCCAUGCCGCGUGUCUGAAGAAGGCCUUCGGGUUGUAAAGGACUUUUGUCCGGGAGCAAAUGCCUGGUGUUAAUAGCACUGGGAGCUGAGAGUACCGGAAGAAUCAGCACCGGCUAACUACGUGCCAGCCGCCGCGGUAAUAC
rnacentral:rRNA from 1 species